UGCAGUGCUGUAUUCAGAUUGGUGCCUGUCAUGUUUAUAAGAAUGAA
rnacentral:miRNA from 1 species